GUAUUGAACUUGAACACAAAUAAUCAAAAUUUAUAAAAAAAAAAUGUCAGAAGUGGAUUUUUAAAAACUAAGAGAGUUGAGAACCAGAACUUGAGUCUGGCGCCUUAGACCACUCGGCCAUCCUGACUGAUGGUUAUAAUUCACACUCAUGGAAAGUUGGUCUGUCAGUAUGAACUUAGAGCGUGUCAGUAUGAACUUUGAGCAAAGGGAAGGUUAAUUUCUGUUCUCAUUCAUAUUCACACAUAUUAGUUCUUAGGUAUCAUACAAUCGUAGGUUGGGAAAAACUAUGUCUAGGGUUAGGUUUGUGUUUGUGGUUGGUUGAUUAAAUGGAAUAGUCUUUGAAUUACUACUACUAGGGUUUGUGUUUUUGGGUGCUAUGCUUGUUCAGAACUAUUAUUAUGUCUCUGCAAUGAAUUUUUGUAGGUUUUAACUUGAACAGGGCAUGUACUUAGCACAGUUUAGCUUUCUUUACAGUAGACAUGUUGUGUUAAAAUAUGUUCAAAACCUAUGAAACUCGGAGACCGGAAACAUGACAACGACACUGGUAAUAAUUUGAAAAAAGAAAUAAAUUUAACAUAGUCACAAAGUGUCGGUUUCAGACACUGACACAAACACAAUUUUUCAGUUGUGUCAGUGCUACAGAGCUUAAAACCUAAACGAGGUGUCACAUUGUUUGUAUCUGUCAAAUUUACUCUUGUAACUGCCUGCAAUGUUUACCUUCAAUUUCAAGAGGUAAUCAGUUUAUUUGCAUGAACAUGUUUUCUACAAUGCUUGGGAAUCUUGUGAUACAAUAUAUCUAAACAGAUGCUACUUUUAGUACAUGAUGUUCAAUUUUUCUUCUAUUGUUAAGAAAAAGGUUUGUUUAAUGGUUUGAGUUCAUCCACAUUCAGUUUUGCUUUUGAUUUAAUUUGUCAAUAGCGCGCCAUAGCGGUGUAUUGUGGCGGGACAGCCCCUCACCGCUAUGCUAUUGGGGGCCUGUGAAGCACUAUUGAUGAUAAGCGGUCAUAGCGGCCGCGAAUAGCGGUAUUGUAGCACCGCAAUAGCAGUGCCAUAGUGGUUUACUGGCCACCAUUCUCAUUUUGGGGGAAAAUUUAUAAGCCCAUAUAUCUUUAUAGGUAUAUUGGUCUUUUCGAUGAUUGAUUCUUCAGUUCUGUCGUACUUUGUCACCGCUUUCCCUGCCUUCUAUGCGUUCCCGUUUUCCACUAUUCUUCGCAAAUCUCCACGGUUCUACUCCGUUUGCCGCCCCUUUCAUCUGUUUCUUCGCUGUUCGCAGCCGUACUCCCCUUUCUUCCCCACCUUCUUGUUUUCCUUUGUUCUCCCCUGCCUUCUCAUCUGUUCUGUUUCCAAUGCUUUGUUUCUUAUUUAAUAACAACCAUGAUAUCAUCAUCAUCCUCAGCCUCAACAAGUGUAAAACCAACUUCCAGCAACAAAAGUUAGUUUAAACCUAUUGGUGACAACUAUGAUUUUGGUUGGUAGGGGAACUCUUAUAAAAACCAGAGCAAAAAAACAUUUGUUUGUGAUUUGUGAGCACCUUUCAUUGUUAUCAAAUAGCGGUGCCAUAGCCGUUGCCGCAUGAUGGAUAUACAUGGCAGUUUUUGGGCUCGCCACAACGGUAAAUAUCGGCCGAUAUUGCGGGUUUUUCUGCUAUAUUCCGCUAUAACGGCUUUGCGGCAGAUAUUUUGGCUUCUACCAUGGACCGCCAUCAACAACACUGACCAGUGCAGACCAACCAUGUAUAUGACAUAAUGGUUAACUUAUGUAGUGUACUUAUCUCCUGCAGAUCUUGCAAAAUCUCCGUACUUUCAAAGCUUAAAUUCCCUCGAGGGAUCCAGGAAGGUAUUUGUAUGAUGCAUCAGUAGUUGAAUACUUGUACUGCAUGACAGCAAUGUAACAGUAACACUCGAUGAGCCGUCAUUAUGGAACUGGCCUUACGGAGAGGAAGAAAUAGAUUGGAGAUCAGUUCAUAUCUUGUGGCAAAUCAAGAGAUGUAGCUCAUGAACUUGCUUCUAGUUGGAAGAAAACCACCACAACUUUUGCUUACUUAAAUGCCUUGCACACGAAGGCAAUGUAGGUUUUAGUUACAAUCUCUUUGUCGCGCACAAUAAGCUAGCUUAUAGUUUGAUGAACUUGCUCCCACUGUUAUCUUAGUUUUUUGUUGUGCUCUU